rnacentral:lncRNA from 1 species
UGAGCAAUGUCCUCUAGUUUAGAUGUUAUGGCAGAGAACGUAUGUGUCGACGUAAAUUGCACUUCCUUCUUCUCGUCAUUUUCCACAAAUAGUCCGGACAAAUCGAAUCCGCUCGAUAAAGAAAUGAUGUCGAAGGCAUUCAAAUUAGUGACCUUAGCCAUGUCUUUCUUUGCUUCAAAUGCAUUGGACUUAGUCUCAGAACUAAAAGCUGCAUCGACAUCGGCUGGAACCAACACUUUUUCAACUUUACUCUGAAUUGGUUUCGAGUUAAACCCUUUUCUGAACCACGUAUUUGUCAUUAAUUUUGCGAUUGAAAUCCUAGCUUUCGGAUUCGGAUUGAGGAUUCUUGACAGCAGCUUGGUCACUUCAGGUGAAAACCAAUUAGGAAAUUUGUACUCUGCCUUGCUUAUUUUCCUAUAGAUUGCUAUUAGAUUCGAAUCAUGAAAUGGCAGAUAACCAGCA